UACGUAGGGGGCAAGCGUUGUCCGGAAUCAUUGGGCGUAAAGAGCGUGUAGGCGGCCCGGUAAGUCCGCUGUGAAAGUCCAGGGCUCAACCCUGGGAUGCCGGUUGAUACUGUCGGGCUCGAGUACGGAAGAGGAGUGUGGAAUUCCCGGUGUAGCGGUGAAAUGCGCAGAUAUCAGGAGGAACACCAAUGGCGAAGGCAGCACUCUGGGACGUGACUGACGCUGGGACGCGAAAGCGUGGGGAGCAAACAGG
rnacentral:rRNA from 1 species